CAGCAUAGUCUAAAUGUUUAUGCAUACUACAACACUAACUCAAUGAGAUAAAUGUUCUAAAUACCACUAAACUAGUAACAUUUGCAGCUAUAAUAUUAACAUGAAAAAUACAAAUAUCUUCAUUAUCAAAUGUGACCACGCAUAUACAGAGCUGUGCCUUUCCAGAUUUCCUGAGUGAGAAUAAGUACCUGGAAUUACAGCAAAGAAGAAAGAACCUAUGAGUAAGGUAAGCGAGAAGCAACAAAUAACAGCAGAUCAACCAAUUAAGACCCAGGAGUAGUAUCAGGAAACCCAGGAAAGUUUUAAAAGACCAAUAACAACACAAGUUCCAAUCCUAUAGCUCGAACAAAGAAAACCAGCCUGGGAUCAAUGCCCAAAGUAGAUUCUGAAAAUUCUAACCCCCUAAAUGCAUAUGCUUCAAGUCAUCUUCAUCUUAUAAUGGAUAGAAUUCUGAUUAUUUUUUUUUCUGAAAUUUUAGGAGAUUUUUGCCAGAAAAGCUUGGGAUUUUCAGGGAAUUUUU
rnacentral:lncRNA from 1 species